GCCCGGUGAUAUUCAUGUGGGAGAGCAGGUUCCAAGAUCCUGGAUUGUACUUGUUCCACUUAAAAGUGCUGUGUAACUCUUACGUGCCAUCUUAGCUGGAAACCCUCCCAGCUGCACAGAACCAAGUCUAUCCUAACCUAAGGGUUCUAAAGAGCUACAGAAAUUACUGUUACAGCUUGCUGGCAAAGCCAUGCUAUGAGGCACCCAGUCAUGAAAACUGAGCAACUGCUUAGGAGUUAACGCCCACACAGCAUUUUGGGAGAACCAACAAUGCGACUGCGAGAUCUGAACACAGAGUAGCUGAGAGGAAGCCCGUGCAGACUGGGAAAACCAGAAACAGAAAGCUACAGCUGUUGCAAUGGAAAUCAGAAAACAGAAACAUAGAUGAUGAAAGGAAUUGCUCCGUAACUUGAACAUCAGAGUAGAAACAUAUCAACCAAAGAAAGCAAGCUACUCUCUCUCAAAAGACUACUUAUCAUCAGCUGCUGACAAGGAUCAAUCCUGCUGAAGUGCCGGCACUAUAAAAAAAGAACACGCUUAAUAGAUCAAAGAGUGUACAAAAACUCAUUUGCAAAGUCAGAUAAUUUUAGGCUGAGGACUGGAGAAGGAUGGCAAAUUCUACAUUUCAGACCUGCUGCCAAUCCUAUCUCUGCAUUUUUUUCAACGAGUUUGUAAUGAAAAGCAUGACAUUUCUUGAAGUAACAGCCAGCCUGAACACUGACAGGCCUUGUGCUUUGCUGGUCUGGGCUUAAGGAUGCUGCUUGGGUGUAAUGAAUACCAUUCCACUGCAUCUUGGAAAUGGUCUCCCAAAGUUUUCUGCUUCCCCAAGCUCCUUCAAAUUUGUUUCCAUAAUUAUAGUAUUUGCUCAAUUCCCAGUAACAUAACUUAUUUAGCUGUCAGCAACUUUUGAUAUUAAUAUUAUGUCACCAUUCUUCACAAAAGAUCAUAUUUUAUACCUUUCAAAGAGCAAUCUAGAACUUACGACUA